rfam:Algoriphagus marincola HL-49 ITZ_scaf_879, whole genome shotgun sequence.
GCGGAUGUGGCGAAAUUGGUAGACGCACUAGACUUAGGAUCUAGCGCCGCGAGGCAUGGGGGUUCGAGUCCCUCCAUCCGCA